GCAGUGCAUCCUACGGGAGGCAGCAGUGGGGAAUAUUGCACAAUGGGCGCAAGCCUGAUGCAGUCCAUGCCGCGUGUAUGAAGAAGGCCUUCGGGUUGUAAAGUACUUUCAGCAGUGAGGAAGGUGGAUAUGUUAAUAGCAUAUUCAUUUGACGUUAGCUGCAGAAGAAGCACCGGCUAACUCCGUGCCAGCAGCCGCGGUAAUACGGAGGGUGCGAGCGUUAAUCGGAAUUACUGGGCGUAAAGCGCAUGCAGGUGGUUUGUUAAGUCAGAUGUGAAAGCCCGGGGCUCAACCUCGGAAUUGCAUUUGAAACUGGCAAACUAGAGUACUGUAGAGGGGGUAGAAUUUCAGGUGUAGCGGUGAAAUGCGUAGAGAUCUGAAGGAAUACCGGUGGCGAAGGCGGCCCCCUGGACAGAUACUGACACUCAGAUGCGAAAGCGUGGGGAGCAAACAGGAUUAGAUACCCCGGAG
rnacentral:rRNA from 1 species